AAUUUCAUAUGGCUUACCUUACAAAUACCCUCAUGAAUUAGAAGCCAAACAGAAAAUCCUUCUAGUUUUAGCUCCUUUGGCAUUUAUUUCUAUGAUCUUUUACUCUGUUCCAUAAUUCACUAUACAUAGAAUGAUAAGCCUGGAUAACAUGGUGAAACCC